GCUCGGCAGGCGAGAAGGCGAAGGAGCAGGGCGCUUCCCCCGCCGCGGCCCGGCGGGGUAAUCUGCAGACCAUAGCCCCAGCAACCUCAGGAUCUGACCCUGUAUGAUCUUCACCACAGGUAAUGGGGAAGUCUCAGGUGUUCAAGCUAGCACAGUUUCAGGGCCUGACUUUGGACUUAAUUCCAUCAAUCUAACUGCACAUCAACUCCAUUGGGUAAUUUUAGAAGAAUCCUACCCGUGUUUUGAUUGAAGUCCAAAGCAAAUACAACAUUUCCAUUCAUCAGAUAGCUGAGAUGAGCAGGAAUACAAUCUCUCUAAGACUCUCUAAAUUUAAAAUAAUGAAUUGGGAUUGGCUGCUCUCACUGCAUUUGUACAGAAUAAGUAAAAAUGAUACAACUGAAAUUCCUGAGGGUAAUACAGCGAAUCAGUUAUCUCAGGCAAAUCUCUCUCAAGUUGCACACCUGUUGGUCUUGGGCCCCAGCCCUUGCUGUAUACUAAGAAGGAUGUGUUAUCUCCAUGCUAUUUUGGGUAGGAUCUCUUUAAGAAAAGCCUCUGUCUCAAUCCCACAGUCUUACUCUGCUCCUCGCAGGAUGAAGUCUUCUCUGGGAUGUCACACUAUAAAAUCUAAAGCAGGAUCCAAUUCCUGAAAAUUCCCAUCAUCAUCAUCAUCAAGCUCUUGUAGAAUACUUCAAAGAUACAGAUAUUUCAGUCUCACUUAUAAAUAUCAAUGUUUUUCCUUCCAUUUCAGUGACAGGGCCCUGGGCCAGGCCUCAGCUUGCUCCUGUGGUUCAGGAUGAAAGCCAACAAAAAAAAUUACUACUAGCCAUGUAAGAAGCAAUACUUCUGUACUGUCUGCCAGACAAGUGCCAAAUGAAGCAGGUAAGUGAUUACAGCAGAAAGAACGUUUCCCUCUGGCAGUCUGCUUCCUUGAUUCCAAAGUAACAAUGCUGGAGCUAAGGUUUGACAAAAUGGUUGAGCUAAUCCCUGCUGUCCACAGAUGACUGUUCACCUGCUCCAUCACAGGCACUUGUUUGACACCUCCUUGAGCUAUUUCAGCUCGCUGAAGCAGCAGGGAAGUAUUCACUUUUAUUAGGAGAGUGUAACUGGGAAGCAGCAGUUUGGUACAAUGAAUCCCAAGCGUAGUUUCCUCUCAUACCUAUGCUAGUGUUACAGUUAGCACCUACUGAAAAACGCAGCCCCACUUCACCUCCCUUCCAGGUGUGCCUUCCUGUCUCCUUCUUUGUACAGCAUUCCUGCUUUUGGAGGGUGAACUUUCUGCAAGUUAGCUUUCUGAACCGGGUCACUGCUGGACCAGGCAAGAGCCAGUGCUGGCAUCGGGAAAGUGGAAGGAACUCCCAUCCUGGAAGAAGAAGGAGGACAAGAUCAGGAUGGCUCCCCUUUUGCCCAGACUGCCAUUAGCUCAGCCCUCGCUGCAAAACAAAGCCACACUGACCCCAGUGGCACUUGAGAACUAGGUACAUUAGCCCUUUUCCUUCAAGGAAAAUACUGAAGUUUCUGGGGUAAACUCAGUUCUGCAGGGCCCAAGACAAUCCUGUCCUUGACGGAGUUGCAUGUGACAACUGACUAAACUGUUUUAACCACUUCACUGUCUUAGGCAGAUGCAUUUCAUGUUCUCUCCCCUUAAGGUAUUCAGCCUUCAUCUUCAUGUUCGACCCAGCUCUACUUUUAGGGAAGAAGCAAGUCAUUACCUCUUUGGCCUAUCACCCCUGCUCCCUCUUGCCUCUCCCCAGUUUCUUUUUGUCCUCAAGUUUCUGAUGAAAAAAGACCCCCCUGCUUAGCAGGGUGUUCUUUGGAGAGAGGCCUAUUACUUCUCCCUUUCCUCACCACAGUUUACAGUUGAAUUAAGUAAAACUGAGCAAAAUGGUGGCCAGUCACUGACAUAGAGUAAGCUUGGGUCCAGGCCUGCAAGCAGGUUAAGAUCUGUGCUAGGUAAUUCUUGUGUCGGACAAGGCUUACUAAGGAACUACAACAAAUGACACUUUUUGUGCUAUCUUCAAGCUGCAGUCUAAGCUGUGUUCAUGCCAUAAUUUGCCUGUGGUAUUGGUAGGUAGAAAUGCUUGUUGCUGUAACUUUGCAGUCAUGUCACGUUAUAAACAGUAAUGCCUGCAGGUAAAGAAAGUGGAAAAAUCUGAGCCUAAGGAGGAUCUUCUGUAUUCUGUCUGAAACCCUCCUUGAUACUUGGCUUGAAUACUUGCACUAUAAAUUAUUACUCCCUGUACUACUCAACAUAAACAUACAUAUAUUGCAAGCCACCUCCAUGCUGGAGGGCACAAAAAUUACCCACUACACAAAGGAAACACUUCCACUCUGAAGGAAGAAAGAUCAGGCCAUGAUGAAUAGACAAGAAAAACAAAACAGCCUGCAAUCACUGUCCCCCAGGGCUCAAAAAGGUGAGAAGUGAUUUAUGUGCCCAAAACAAACCACUUAAGCCAGUAAAAUUUACAAAACCCAAAAUAGUUUUAUUUAAUUUUCAGAUUUCUGCCUCAGUGAGACAUUUUGCAAACAUGCUAAGGCUACAAAAUGUCCAAGUUGACACAGACAUGCAACGCUGACCAUUCAAUAAG